rnacentral:rRNA from 1 species
AUACGGAGGAUGCGAGCGUUAUCCGGAUUUAUUGGGUUUAAAGGGAGCGUAGGUGGGAUAUUAAGUCAGCUGUGAAAGUUUGGGGCUCAACCUUAAAAUUGCAGUUGAUACUGGUUUCCUUGAGUACGGUACAGGUGGGCGGAAUUCGUGGUGUAGCGGUGAAAUGCUUAGAUAUCACGAAGAACUCCGAUCGCGAAGGCAGCUCACCGGGCCGGAACUGACACUGAUGCUCGAAAGUGCGGGUAUCAAACAGGAUUAGAUACCCUGGUAGUCCGCCCAGUAAACGAUGAAUACUCGCUGUUUGCGAUACACUGUAAGCGGCCAAGCGAAAGCGUUAAGUAUUCCACCUGGGGAGUCCGCCGGCAACGGUGAAACUCAAAUGAAUUGACGGGG